rnacentral:rRNA from 1 species
UACGUAGGGGGCAAGCGUUGUCCGGAUUUAUUGGGCGUAAAGAGCGUGUAGGCGGCUUUACAGGUCCGUUGUGAAAACUCGAGGCUCAACCUCGAGACGCCGGUGGAAACCGUAAAGCUAGAGUCCGGAAGAGGAGAGUGGAAUUCCUGGUGUAGCGGUGAAAUGCGUAGAUAUGUGGAGGAACACCGAUGGCGAAGGCAGCCCCCUGGGUCAAAACUGACGCUCAUGCACGAAAGCGUGGGGAGCAAACAGG